UAGGGAAUCUUCCACAAUGGACGCAAGUCUGAUGGAGCAACGCCGCGUGAGUGAAGAAGGCUUUCGGGUCGUAAAACUCUGUUAUUGAAGAAGAACGUGCGUGACAGUAACUGGUCAUGCAGUGACGGUAUUCAAUCAGAAAGUCACGGCUAACUACGUGCCAGCAGCCGCGGUAAUACGUAGGUGGCAAGCGUUGUCCGGAUUUAUUGGGCGUAAAGCGAGUGCAGGCGGUCUU
rnacentral:rRNA from 1 species